UUUGUACUUCGGCUAAGGUGCUGCUCUAUGGCGGCCAGUACCUUGGCUAGGUGCAACGC
rnacentral:pre_miRNA from 1 species